UAUUAUAGGAGUUAUUAGUACUGGCAAGUUCCCCGUUACUUCAUGUUUUGGGGAGAAACAAAUAUUCAUACAGAACACACAGAGAGAGCAUAGAAAGAAGGGGGUGAAUCAAGGAAAGAUCAAAUUGUGGGAGUCAUCAUCUAAGUUUCUCACCACAAGUUAAUUGAGAGGUAGUGGAGUGAAGACCGCUGUGUUAAGAAUUAAGAGCUGCUGCUGCGAAGAUGAUGACCCAAAUUCACCUUUCCGAGAGGGUUCCCACGGCGGGGACUUGGCGUGACAUUCCGGACAGAGAUGAUGAUUACGUCAGUCGUGAAGUAUCUUAGCAGAAGCUUUAAGUCUGAUAUUAGCAUAGGAUUUAAAUUUGAUCAGCUUUAGGAUUUUGUUUACGUUACAUACUUGUGUUAGCUAAUUUUCUUUCGUCGAAGUUUAUACGCUGGUUUAAUUUCAUGGUGUUGUAAGUCUUAAGUUGUCAUUUGGUAUUGGCAAAUUCUCGCUGGAUUUUCUUUUGGAUCUAAAGUUUGAUUUGUUACUUUCA